CAGUCGCCACGGUAAUACAGAGGGUGCGAGCGUUAAUCGGAUUUACUGGGCGUAAAGCGUGCGUAGGCGGCUAAUUGAGUCGGAUGUGAAAUCCCCGAGCUUAACUUGGGAAUUGCAUUCGAUACUGGUUAGCUAGAGUGUGGGAGAGGAUGGUAGAAUUCCAGGUGUAGCGGUGAAAUGCGUAGAGAUCUGGAGGAAUACCGAUGGCGAAGGCAGCCAUCUGGCCUAACACUGACGCUCAGGUGCGAAAGCGUGGGGAGCAAACAGGAUUAGAUACCCCCGUAGUCCCUGUCUCUUAUAC
rnacentral:rRNA from 1 species